AAUAGAUACCCAGGUAGUCCACGCCGUAAACGAUGGAUGCUAGCUGUUAUGCGUAUCGACCCGUGUAGUAGCGAAGCUAACGCGUUAAGCAUCCCGCCUGGGGAGUACGAACGCAAGUUUAAAACUCAAAGGAAUUGACGGGGACCCGCACAAGCGGUGGAGCGUGUUCUUUAAUUCGAGGCUAAGCGAAGAACCUUACCAGGGCUUGACAUCCUUGGAAUUUCUCCGAAAGGAGAGAGUACUUUAUUGGACCAAGUGACAGGUGCUGCAUGGCCGUCGUCAGCUCGUGUCGUGAGAUGUUUGGUUAAGUCCAUUAACGAGCGCAACCCUUAUGAAUAGUUGUUAUUUUUCUAUUCAGACUGCCCCGGGUAACGGGGAGGAAGGGGGGAUGAUGUCAGGUCAGUAUUGCCCUUACGCCCUGGGCUAGAAACGCGCUACAAUGGCCGGUACAAUGCGCUGCCAACCCGCGAGGGGAGCAAAUCGCAUCAAAGCCGGUCCCAGUUCGGAUAAGAGGCUGAAACUCGCCUCUUUGAAGCCGGAAUCGCUAGUAAUCGU
rnacentral:rRNA from 1 species